GUAUCUGGUCAUACUAUCCUGAAGGUGCACAAUCUCACCUGAUCUUGGAAACUAAGCAAGAUGAGGCCUGUCAGUUCCUGAAUGGGACACAGCCUGGGAUUGCAGCACACUGUAGGCU
rnacentral:rRNA from 1 species